GAUCUGAUGUUCUCUUCUUUUAGCAAAAUCACAAACUAAAACCUGAGACUGCUGUUUGCUUAUGACUCUGCUUGAUGCUGAUCUGUGACUCACCGUGGGCGAGAAUGAGCUGCAAAGUCACGGUGGCAUUCUACAUGUUGACAUAUGGAUACAAAGGUUCGUCAGCAAAAUAGUCUCUCUAAACAUUGUUCUCUUACUAAAAUCCACGUGUCUGAAGAGAGGAGUAUAAAAUGUUGAGACA
rnacentral:lncRNA from 1 species